UCCGGUUUGGCACCGGCAGUCCCCCCAGAGUCCCCGACGAGGUGUUUAGCCUCUCGCUGGCAACUGGGGGCAAGGGUUGCGCUCGUUGCGGGACUUAACCCAACAUCUCACGACACGAGCUGACGACAGCCAUGCACCACCUGUACACCGACCACAAGGGGGGCACCAUCUCUGAUGCUUUCCGGUGUAUGUCAAGCCUUGGUAAGGUUCUUCGCGUUGCGUCGAAUUAAGCCACAUGCUCCGCUGCUUGUGCGGGCCCCCGUCAAUUCGUUUGAGUUUCAGCCUUGCGACCGUACUCCCCAGGCGGGGCACUUACUGCGUUAGCUGCGGCACCCAAGGGGUCAAUACCUCGGACACCUAGUGCCCAUCGUUUACAGCGUGGACUAC
rnacentral:misc_RNA from 1 species